rnacentral:rRNA from 1 species
UACGUAGGGUGCGAGCGUUGUCCGGAAUUAUUGGGCGUAAAGAGCUCGUAGGCGGUCUGUCACGUCUGCUGUGAAAACCCGGGGCUUAACCCCGGGCUUGCAGUGGAUACGGGCAGACUAGAGGCAGGUAGGGGAGAAUGGAAUUCCCGGUGUAGCGGUGAAAUGCGCAGAUAUCGGGAGGAACACCGGUGGCGAAGGCGGUUCUCUGGGCCUGACCUGACGCUGAGGAGCGAAAGCGUGGGGAGCGAACAGG